AGAGUUUGAUCCUGGCUCAGAUUGAACGCUGGCGGCACGCCUAACACAUGCAAGUCGAGCGGUAACAGGGUAUGUAGCAAUACAUACCGCUGACGAGCGGCGGACGGGUGAGUAAUACGUAGGAACCUGCCUAGAGUGGGGGACAACCAAGGGAAACUUUGGCUAAUACCGCAUAAACUCGAGAGAGCAAAGCUGCCGCA
rnacentral:rRNA from 1 species